rnacentral:rRNA from 1 species
AAACUUUCAACAACGGAUCUCUUGGUUCUGGCCUCGAUGAAGAACGCAGCGAAAUGCGAUAAGUAAUGUGAAUUGCAGAAUUCAGUGAAUCAUCGAAUCUUUGAACGCACAUUGCGCCCCUCGGUAUUCCGGGGGGCAUGCCUGUCCGAGCGUCAUCA